rnacentral:rRNA from 1 species
UGGAAUCAUGAGUGUGUCACUCAUGACUCGAAUAAGGAAAAAUAAUGAUAACACUUAUUAGAGUAGUCUUGUCCAAAACUGGUGCCAGAAGACUCGGUAAUGCCAGAGAGACAAGCGUUAAUCAUCUUGAUCAGGCGUAAAGGGUUUGUAGGCAGCUUUAAUAAAUUAAAGAUUGAAUCAAAUAGAAGUUAAGAGAAUUCCUAGAUUAGGGUUGAUAUCUGUAUAAACUAGGAAGAAUACUAAAUAGCGAAGGCACUUUUCUAUCUAAUGAUUGACGCUGAGAAACGAAGGGGAGGAUCGAAAACAGGAUUAGAUACCCUAAUAUCCCUCUCUGUAAACGAUGAAUGGUAGUUGCUAGUAGUAAUAAUUAGUGACGAUGCUAACGCGUUAACCAUUCCGCCUUGUGAGUACGACUGCAAAGUUGAAAACAAAAAAAUUAGUCGGUUUCGGAGCAA